CUACCCUGGGGAUAACAGGCUUAUCUCCCCCAAGAGUCCACAUCGACGGGGAGGUUUGGCACCUCGAUGUCGGCUCAUCACAUCCUGGGGCUGUAGUAGGUCCCAAGGGUUGGGCUGUUCGCCCAUUAAAGUGGUACGCGAGCUGGGUUCAGAACGUCGUGAGACAGUUCGGUCCCUAUCCGUCGCAGGCGUAGGAAAUUUGAGAAGACCUGUCCUUAGUACGAGAGGACCGGGAUGGACGUACCUCUGGUGUACCAGUUGUCCUGCCAAGGGCAUGGCUGGGUAGCUAUGUACGGAAUGGAUAAGCGCUGAAAGCAUCUAAGCGCGAAGCCAACUUCAAGAUAAGAUUUCCCACCGCAAGGGUAAGACCCCAGAAAGACUAUCUGGUUGAUAGGUCGAAGGUGUAAGUGCAGCAAUGUAUUUAGCUUAUCGAUACUAAUAGGUCGAGGACUUGACCAAU
rnacentral:rRNA from 1 species